UUUAGUUUAGAAAAACGUCGCCUGAGAGGGGAUAUGAUAACAUUAUACAAAUAUAUUCAGGGCCAAUACAAACCAUUGUGUGGAAAUCUAUUCACAAACCAGACUUUACAUAGGACACGAGGUCGUGUGUUUAGACUGGAAGAAAGAAGAUUUUGUCUAAGGCAAAGGAAAGGUUUUUUUACUGUUAGAACAAUAAGGAUGUUGAAUUCUCUGCCUGAAG